UCUCUCUCCCUCCCCCCCCCUCUCACUUUCUCUCUCUUGCUCUCUCGAUCUCUCUUUCUCUCUCUCACUCUCCCUCUCUCCCUCUGUGUAAUUUAUGUACGUCUGUGUUAGAUGUGAAAAUAACACCCUCAUCAGUGCUGCUGUAAAUCUGAUUAUAUUUACAGCUUUAGACUUCAGCAGCUGUGAUCUCCCACAUGUUCCAGGAACGAUGCGACAUUACUUAAGUAGAAGCGUCCUAGAUAUAGGGCUAUUCUAUAGAAUCUAUAGCACCAGCAUUUCCCUUAAAGUCUGAAAUAAACAGUCAGGGGAUAGAAAAUAUGGACUUAUAUACAGUACCUUAACUUGGACGCCUUUUUUCUUUUUUUGCUAUAAAAUGUAAUACAUUAUUGUCAAUAUAUUGCGUCACGAAUAUUCCCAAUUGUACAUAUCACAUCAAUCACUGCAAAUUCGGUUUAUUUAAAACAACAUGGCUUCCGCCCUUAUUAUCCAGCUGCUUAUAAAAUAGCACUUGAUGCAGCGCAUCAUAUUAUUUUUUGCUAGUUUUUCACCAACAGCUACCUCACCUCUGAAUACAGAUCUUAGUCUUUAAAGUAUGAUGAUUCCUCGCAUCUUACUCUUGAUUCGCAUGGCAGCUUUUUGGAUCCUCAAAUAACACACUGUAGUUUUUCCUUGACUGGAGCGAACUAUGGAAAGUUAGAUUGGACUCGUUGACUCUGUAAUGGCUGUGAAAACACUAGACUAGUGUUGCCUGUGGGAGGGUGAUUCUUACUGUCCGAGUCUUUUUGAUGAUGCAGUUGAUCUUUUCAUCCCACUUGAGGUUAUCUGCUACUGUGGGGCCUUUCAAAAGCCUUUUGCCUAGUUAGAGACAUGUUUUUUUUUGUUUUGUUUUGGUUUUUUUUUUUUUAUAGAUAAGUGGCGAAUUAAAGGUGUGUUAGACAAUAUAUGUCACAAUUUGUUAAGAUUAUUUGUCUGCUAGCUGAGUAAGAUUUUAAUGAUUUUUAUUUAUCACCAUUCCAACCAAGGUAUACCAAUUUACAACACUAUAUACACGCAGAACGUAGCUCAAACUGACAGAAUAACAUGUAUCUGCUUGAAUUGUUAUGUAAAGCUGGUUAUUCAAAUAAUUUAAAGCUUUGUACAGAUUGCAUUUACAGACCUGUCCAGUAGCAUCAUUAAAUCUGUGUUUUUUUUAUUUUUUAUGCAGUAUUUUUUGUGCUCACAAGAGAAUUAUCUGGCUGUGCUGGGCGCUUUCAGAUUUCAGCCGUUUGGUGGGUUUUUCUUCUUUCCAAACAGACUGAGAUGAAGUUGGAGUGAACGGAUAUUGUGGUUCUGUACUAUACUAACAGUUUUCCAAACGGAUUUUUUAAGCCACAUAAUACACUGAGGGUAUGGCUUAAACUAUUGUUUUUGAUCAUGUUCUUUAUUUUCUCUAUUUUCCAGGUAAUUUGGGUAAGAAAACAUUAAAAAAAAUCACCUAUUGAACCUUUAAAUACACACUCACUUCUGAUUACUGGAGUGUUUCAGUAAAAAAAAGACCUUUACGUUUAAAACUAUAAGGAAAAAAUAACAGACUUAGCAAAAAAAUAUUCCUAAAAUGAGGUGCAUUUACUGUGGAUAAAUCCGCUUUGAUUAACACGGUCCAUAAUUCAGUAAUAUAUAAUUCUGGCUGCCGAGUUCCUCAGAGCUGACUGCUUUCUAAGCUUCUGGUCUCAUUUUAAUGAUCAGUCAACUUCAGUCUUUACUCAAGUCUUCUCACUUUAUCUCUUCAUCUUUUUUUUCCUUCCGAUUCACCUGUGUUUUUUUUUUUUCCGAUAGACUUUUAUUUUUUUUCUUCUUCUGGCAGCCGUAUUCGGAUCCCCCUCUGGGUCCUACUCCGAAGUCGUCCAUAUUUAAUCACAUCGUGGGUCUCACCAGACCUGCUCCCAUGUUUUCUACAUAUUUGGGGAUAUUUAUAAAACAGAAAAAUGACUCUAAUGGGAAGCUUCUUCUCUGGAACUCGAGGCAUUCCUGCCAGGAAGCGUUUCACAGACGAACCGAAGAGGGAGAGCUAAUUAAAAUGCAAUAAGGGCACAAUUUGUUUUGUUGGCAGGGAUUUCUGGAGCAAUCAGAAGCGAAACGCGCUCCACAUGCACACGCUGAUUGAGUUUUCGUUUAAAAGUCAUCACUAAUGCAGUCGAACUUUGUAAAUGCGAGUCGGAGAUAUGUAGUAACGGUGCAUUAUCGGACUUGUAGAACACCAUUAAGCGUAUUCAGAUCCUUUUUUUAUUUAUAAUUAAAAUAGUUAUACUCCCUUCCCCUGCCCCUCCUCCCACCAAAUAUAUUAAUUAGUCAAAUUGGCAAAUGUCUUUGAUAAUUCUGUAGAUAAUACAAGGAAAAAACAAGUAUUUUAUCUUUUCUUGAUAAGGGUGACUCAGACUAAGUGAAGUUUGUUCAACAGUGGCAGCUGAGACUAAAUCAUGUUUGUUUCUCAUUAAUUGAUGUUUGUCUUCUUCCAGCUCAAGCUGUCAGCUUGCAUGUGUG
ensembl:lncRNA